rnacentral:ncRNA from 1 species
GGAUUAGCAGGGAAUGAAGCCCCUGUUGAGCCUGACUCUAGUCUAGCAUGGUGAAGAGACAUGAGAACAGUGCAAUAAGUAGAAGACCUCUGAUGCUCUCUGGUUCCCUGGGAGGGGUCAGGGUGAGGUCCACCAGCCUCACAGACUACAGUGAAAUGCUACUUAUCAUCAUUUUCCACUGACCCAGGGAGACAGGGGUGGCUUGAGCCAUGAGUGGUUCUCACUUCUGGCACCACGUGUCUGUCACACAUAUUGUAUGCUAUGGCCCAUUCUGGGAACAGUGCCAUGUUCAUCGUUUGACUGGGGAGUUACACUUGUCAAACAGUAAUGCAGGUGUCCUACAGCGAACUCACAGAUGACAGAAACUAUCCUUAACGGUUGCUCUACCAUGAUUUUCAUUACACAUACAAACCAUGAAUGCAGGGCAUUAAAAUCCUUCUGAAUUUUUGGUUUUAAGUAGGAAUUGUCAGAAAAGUUACCACAGGAAUAACUGCCUUCUGGAAGAAACUGUUCAUAGUGACAUAGUUUUAUUGACCCUGCAAUGUCUGCUGUUCUUGUGAUUUUGAAGCAGGAUUCACCUAGGGUUGGAUUGUUGACCCAGUAAUAGGGAAUGUGAGCUGGAUUAGAACAUCAUGAGACAGAUUCGUUUUACCUACUGAUUAUGUGCAUUUUGCCUUUGAAUCCUGCUCAGUAUGAGAGGAACAAUAUGUUCAGACAUUUGGAGUGUAUGCUCCACUGAGAAGACAAUGAGCAAGACUACCACUUGUAGAAUUAUGACUUAAGGCCCCUAAGUUGAUAUUCCACCGAUGCAGGGCUGUAAAAUGGAGCCAAAGACCCUCAGUUAGCCCUGGAUAGCCAGGUCUGGUCUAUACCUGCUGGAGGUGCCAUCGCAUUCCCACAAGGUGGUGGGUCCCUGUUGUGUUGGGGCACAGGUGUCCAGUGUGGAAAGACACUCAUCCUCUGAAACAUCGUGUGCUAGAAAGGAGACAGACCUUUCAUCCAUCAUGCUAAUGCAUGUGUGUGUAGAAUCUGGUGCUAAACCAUUCCAAGAUGACCUGCUUCUAUGACAGGGAUUCAUAUAUAGCAGAACAGUUAACUUACUUUGUCUCUUGUAAGUCAUCCCUCAACACAAGAUUU